CAGAAGUUCGGAGUCUUUGGGAGCGGGCAGUUCGCCGUGAAGGGUGGCGCGCUAAGGAUGGAGACCGCCUGUGCUCUGUACAUUUCACUCCUGAGUGCUUUGACCGCACUGGGCAAACGACGCGACUGCGGGUGGGAAGUGUGCCCACGUCGUUUCCAGCUUUUCCGCCUCAUCUGCAGAAACCUGUCAAACAGAAGCGUCCCGACCCCAAGUCUCGAGAUUUCCCGGCCCCGCCUGGUCCUGAGUGUUCUGGGUUGUGCGACCUGCCUGGAGCUGAAAAUUUUCCUGAAGACUCGCCAACCAAACAGUUCUACAAAGACAAGGUCCUUUCCUCACAAGAAGAGAUAACCCAGUUGAAGAAGAAGGUCAAAACACUGCA